AUAGCAGCAACCUGCUUCAAGCCUCAUUGUGCUGAACUUUACAAAAACACUAGAGAGGCUGCAUUUCAAGAAGUCUUCGAGAGACACUCUAGAAAAUCAAUAUCAUGGAGGUUUACUAAGUAUGGGUUAAAUUAAGGGAGCUGAAAAUACCUCAGAAUAACACCUGUGAGGGUAUACAACUUGAAGAUGAAAAGGAGGCCUGUUUGUUGCUGAUUUCCAGGUGCAAAUUGGUGUUUAAGGAAGUUCAAACUUGUUGUGAGUACUCUAAGAGUUGGAGAUGUGCUUGAGCAAAUGUAUUUUGAUGUGUUACAACUAUUCUAGGUGACCACAAGCACCUAACAUCACUGCAGGAGCAACUGAAUGGGAUUGAUAUAUAUAUAUAUAUAUAUAUAUAUAUAUAUAUAUGUUGCGUGGAUAUCGUAGCAUUGGAGCAACUUCAGCGCAACCUAAUCCGGUGAUUUAGGCCCAUUUUGGUGACCCAAUUUGCUCCAUUGUGGGUCGCCAAAUUUAGGCCACGUCAUUCAAAUCACGGAAAACGACGACCCUCUUAGCGAGCCGUAGGCUUGCCAUACGAGCCCGCCUUUCUUUUUUUUUUUUUUUUUUUUUUUUUUUUUUUUAUUUCUGGCUCAGAACAUUGUUUUAGCCCAUAACGCUGUUUGUAAGGCCAUGUUUGGCUGAAAUAAAAGCUAAAAAACAGUUUUUUGGGUUAUUUUGGUCUCUCUUUUUUUUCCUUCAAAACAAUUGAACCAAAGAGCCAUUAACGCACAGUUUGGCUGACAAACAGUGUCUUAAAUGCUUUUUUGGGCAAAAAAGUUAAAAAAAUGGAGAAAAGAUUUUUUAAAACAAAACCUUACUUUUUUAAAUAUUCCUAUUGACAUUAUAGCCAUUUUAGGCACUGUUUAGCUUACCCAAGCAGUGCCUUAACGGCUAUAUUGGCACAAAAGCAAAUUUUUUAAAAUUUUUUUUUUUAACUAUAUAUAUAUAUAUAUAUAUAUAUAUAUAUAUAUAUAUAUAAAAUAUAAAUAAAUAAUUUUUUUUUUCAUUUUUCCUCUAUAAAUACAUCAACCCCUACUAUUAUUCACUUCAUAUCCAACCCAUCUUCUCUAGUAUUCAACCUACAAAUACAACCACUAAGUUAUUUUCUCAAUCUUUUAGUUAUAUUUUUUUACUAAAGUUCAAUUCCAUGGACCCCUGACCACCAUAUUAUAAAUACAACGCCCAAUUUAACCAAUCAAAUGAUAAUUUUGAUCCCUUCUUACAAUUUGUUGAAGAAGAAUCUCAAUUUUUGUCUCAUCAACCUUCUCAAAUUUCCAACAUUCCUACUGAAGUGCUACAAUCCAGUAACUCCCAACCUCUAAGAAAGCAAAGGGUUAUUCAGCCUUCUAAUUGGUCCACAGUUGAAGAUAAGGCUUUAUGUUAUGCGUGGAUGGCCAUUAGCACUGAUGCGGUCAUCGGUUCAGACCAACAAAAAACAACGUUAUGGAGCUGAAUUUAUGAAAGUUUUGAGCAACACGUUAGUGGUACUGGUACACCUAAAAGAAAUCCUAAGGCCUACUUGAAUCGUUGGUACUUCAUGCAACAAAUGAUUACCAAAUUUUCUGGAUGCAUGCCCCAGAUCAAAAGGAAUUACCCCAGUGGGCAAGACAAUGAGUACAAGGGGGUUUGGAAGUGGUUAGGGGGUGUCUUAGGGUGGGAGCUGUAGCAGUUGGAGGAUCUUACCUUAGUGUGGGAUCUCUUCACUUGGUUGAAUAUUCAGAAUUCCAAAAGACUCCAAAGUCUUUUUGCUGCUGGGGUAUGGUUUAUUUGGAGAGAAAGGAAUAAUAGACUCCAUGGUUCUAAUAGUUUCCUUCUGGAGGUAGUGGCUAGAUCUACCGUCAUGGAAGUUUGUGAUGUUCAGAAGGUUUCUCUUAAUGAUGUUAUUGCUUAGAACUGAAUUUCAUUUUUUAUUUUUGUACUGGAAAUGGGCUUUUCAUUAGGCCUUAUUUUUAGUAUUGUUUUUAUUUUCUUUUUCUGGGGGUAUGCCCUCUGUGCUCCUGUAUUCAUGUUGAUUUUUUGAGCUCAAUACAUCUCCAAUUAUGAAAAAAAAAAAAUGGUAGAUAUUUUAAAGAUUU